GGCCUAAUAGCUCAGUCGGCUAGAGCUUUGGCUGUACUAAAGCCCUCCCCUUACUGGCGUGGGUUCGAAUCCCACCAAGGCCA
rnacentral:tRNA from 1 species